AACGCGAAGAACCUUACCUAAGCUUGACAUCCUUUUGACCGAUGCCUAAUCGUAUCUUUCCCUUCGGGGACAGAAGUGACAGGUGGUGCAUGGUUGUCGUCAGCUCGUGUCGUGAGAUGUUGGGUUAAGUCCCGCAACGAGCGCAACCCUUGCCUUUAGUUGCCAGCAUUAAGUUGGGCACUCUAGAGGGACUGCCAGGGAUAACCUGGAGGAAGGUGGGGAUGACGUCAAAUCAUCAUGCCCCUUACGCUUAGGGCUACACACGUGCUACAAUGGGUGGUACAGAGGGCAGCCAAGUCGUGAGGCGGAGCUAAUCCCUUAAAUCCAUUCUCAGUUCGGAUUGUAGGCUGAAACUCGCCUACAUGAAGCUGGAGUUACUAGUAAUCGCAGAUCAGAAUGCUGCGGUGAAUACGUUCCCGGGUCUUGUACACACCG
rnacentral:rRNA from 1 species